rnacentral:rRNA from 1 species
UUCUGUGGCUGUACUGCUCUGAGUGUGCAUGCUCUUCUGAUCUCAAAAGCUAAGCAGGGUCAGGGCUGGUCAGUACUGGAAUGGGAGACCACAUGGGAAACUGAGUGCUGUAGGCU